rnacentral:tRNA from 1 species
GCCUCCUUAGCUCAGCGGUAGAGCACUUCCAUGGUAAGGAAGGGGUCCCCGGUUCGAUCCCGGGAGGAGGCU